AUCACCUGGGCACCCUGUUACAAUGCACAGUGUGAUUCAGCAGGUCUGGGGCCUGAGAAUCUGCAUUCCUAACAAGUUCCCAGGUCAUGCCA
rnacentral:pre_miRNA from 1 species